CCUAGUUGAUUAUGCCAGAGGUCAUAUUCUUGUCUUAAAGAUUAAGCCACACUUGUGUAAGUAUGAAUCAAAUCAGAUUGUGAAAUUGCGAAUCGCUCAUCAAAUCAAUUAUUGUUUAUUUGAUGGUAUCUACUACUCGGAUAACCAUAGUAAUUCUAUAGUUAAUAGGUCCUCGACUACUCUACGGAAUGCAUUUAUUAGAUAAAGGUCGGCGCGAUCUUUACUCUUUGCAGCGCUGAUUCAUGAUAAAUCGAUGGAUCACACGACCAUCGUGUCAGUGAUGUGUCAUUCAAAUAUUUGCACUACCAACUUACGAUGGUAGGAGAAUGGUCUACCGUGGUGGUAAUCGUUGAUGGAGAAUUAGGGUUCAAUUCCGGAAAGGGAGCCUGAGAAAUGACUAUCACAUGUAGGGAAGGCAGUAGGUGCACAAAUUACCCAAUACUGAUGUGGGAAGGUAGUGAUAAUAAAUAACAAUACCGUUCUCUUUGAGUCUUGUAAUUAGAAUAAGUACAAUAUAAAUCCCUUAACAAGGAUCCAUUGGAGGCAAAGUCCGGUGCCAGCAGCUACAGUAGUUCCAGCCUAAUAGUAUAUAUUUAAGUUGUUAAAAAUCUCAUAGUUGGACUUUGAGAUGGGACGGACGAUCCGCCUUCCUUUGUGCACGUGUCAUCUCUUUCCUUAAACCAACGAUUUGCUCCUGGCCUUGAUUGGCUAGGUCUAGAUUAUUGCUAUUGUUUGGGAUAGAUCAUUUCAAUUUAUGGUAAUCAACAAGGAAUUCCUAGUAAGUGCGAGUCAUUAUCUCGCGUUGACUAUGUCCCUUCCCUUUGUACACACCGCUCAUCGCUCCUACCGAUUGAAUGAUGUAGUGAAAUAUUCGAAUCACGAUGACAUGAGAGGUUCCUUUCUCACAAUGUUGCAAGAAGUCUAUUGAGCCUUAUCAUUUAGAGGAAAGAGAUGUUGUAACAAGGUUUUUGUAGGUGCACCUGCGUAAAGAUUAUUG
rnacentral:rRNA from 1 species